rnacentral:rRNA from 1 species
GACGAACGCUGGCGGCGUGCCUAAUACAUGCAAGUCGUGCGGACCUUGUUGAAAGCUUGCUUUUAAAAGGUUAGCGGCGGACGGGUGAGUAACACGUGGGCAACCUGCCUGUAAGACUGGGAUAACGCCGGGAAACCGGGGCUAAUACCAGAUCGUUUUUUCCUCCGCAUGGAGGAAAAAGGAAAGGCGGCUUCGGCUGCCACUUACAGAUGGGCCCGCGGCGCAUUAGCUAGUUGGCGGGGUAAUGGCCCACCAAGGCAACGAUGCGUAGCCGACCUGAGAGGGUGAUCGGCCACAUUGGGACUGAGACACGGCCCAAACUCCUACGGGAGGCAGCAGUAGGGAAUCUUCCGCAAUGGACGAAAGUCUGACGGAGCAACGCCGCGGGAGUGAAGAAGGCCUUCGGGUCGUAAAACUCUGUUGCCGGGGAAGAACAAGUGCCGUUCGAACAGGGCGGCGCCUUGACGGUACCCGGCCAGAAAGCCACGGCUAACUACGUG